GGGAAGCCACGCCCUUCUCUGCCGGCGUGACGUCAUCGCGCACGCACGCACGCACGCACGGGGGGCGUGGCCUCGUGACACAGCAGCGCCACUACGGAGGCCGGGAGGGGUCAAAAAGGACGCGGGGCCCACGAGGCCCUAUAGGGCCCUAUGGGGGCGGAGGGGGAGGGGGUCCUGAAGGCGGCUUUUAGGGCUUUAUAGGGCCCUAUGGGGCCUUAGAGCUGCCCUAUAGGGGCCGAAGGACCCCAUAAAGUUGAGCAAGAGGGGCCAUAUGGGGGUCUGUAGGUGCCCUAUAGGGGCUUAUAGGGUGCCCCAUAGGGGCCCUAUUGGUAUCUACAGCGAUCCUAAAGCUAUGGGGUCUUGCAGAUGCCAUAUAGGGACCCCAAAGAGGCUGAUAGAGGGCUAUAGGAACCUGAAACGACCCUAUAGGUGUCUAUGGGUACCUUAAAGCAGCCUCUGGGGCCUAUGGGGUGGGAUUCGGGGUCUCUGUGGGGUCUAUGGGGUGGGAUUUGAGGUCUAUAUGGGGUCUAUGGGGUGGGAUUUGAGGUCUAUAUGGGGUCUAUGGGGUGGGAUUUGAGGUCUAUAUGGGAUCCUGGGGUCUGUGGGGUGGGAUUCGGGGUCUCUGUGGGGUCUAUGGGGUGGGAUUUGAGGUCUAUAUGGGAUCCUGGGGUCUAUGGGGUGGGAUUUGAGGUCUAUACGGGGUCUAUGGGGUGGGAUUUGGGGUCUAUAUGGGAUCGAUACGGGAUUUGGGGUCUAUGGGGAGGGCUUUGGGGUCUAUAUGGGGUGUAUGGGGUGGGAUUUGAGGUCUAUAUGGGGUGUAUGGGGUGGGAUUUGGGGUCUAUAUGGGGUCUAUGGGGUGGGAUUUGAGGUCUAUAUGGGGUCUAUGGGGUGGGAUUUGGGGUCUAUAUGGGAUCUAUACGGGAUUUGGGGUCUAUGGGGAGGGCUUUGGGGUCUAUAUGGGGUGUAUGGGGUGGGAUUUGAGGUCUAUAUGGGGUCUAUGGGGUGGGAUUUGGGGUCUAUAUGGGGUCUAUGGGGUGGGAUUUGAGGUCUAUAUGGGAUCCUGGGGUCUAUGGGGUGGGAUUCGGGGUCUAAAUGGGGUUUAUGGGGUGGGAUUUGGGGUCUAUAUGGGGUCUAUGGGGUGGGAUUUGAGGUCUAUAUGGGAUCCUGGGGUCUAUGGGGUGGGAUUGGGGGUCUAUAUGGGAUCCUGGAGUCUAUGGGGUGGGCUUUAGGGUCUAUACGGGGUCUAUGGGGUGGGAUUUGGGGUCUAUACGGGGUCUAUACGGGAUUUGGGGUCUAUGGGGUGGGCUUUGAGGUCUGUAUGGGGUCUAUGGGGUCGGAUUUGGGGUUUACAUGGGAUCUAUAUGGAUUUGGGGUCUAUUGGGUGGGAUUUGGGGUCUAUAUGGGAUCUAUAUGGGAUGCUGGGGUCUGUGGUGUGGGUUUUAGGGUCUGUAUGGGGUCUAUGGGGUGGGCUUUGGGGUCUAUAUGGGAUCUAUAUGGGAUCUUAGACUCUAUGGGUCUAUAUGGGAUCUGUAUGGGAUCUAUAUGGAAUCCUGGGGUCUAUGGG
ensembl:lncRNA